rnacentral:rRNA from 1 species
UACAGAGGGUGCAAGCGUUAAUCGGAUUGACUGGGCGUAAAGGGCGCGUAGGCGGUUAUUUAAGUUGGUUGUGAAAGCCCUAGGCUUAACCUAGGAGUUGCAAUCAAGACUGGAUAGCUAGAGUACGGUAGAGGGGAGUGGAAUUUCCGGAGUAGCGGUGAAAUGCGUAGAUAUCGGAAGGAACACCAGUGGCGAAGGCGGCUCCCUGGGCCUGUAACUGACGCUGAGGCGCGAAAGCGUGGGGAGCAAACAGG